rnacentral:rRNA from 1 species
AGCGAACGCUGGCGGCAGGCUUAACACAUGCAAGUCGAGCGGGUGUAGCAAUACAUCAGCGGCAGACGGGUGAGUAACGCGUGGGAACAUACCUUUUGGUUCGGAACAACCCAGGGAAACUUGGGCUAAUACCGGAUAAGCCCUUACGGGGAAAGAUUUAUCGCCGAAAGAUUGGCCCGCGUCUGAUUAGCUAGUUGGUGAGGUAAUGGCUCACCAAGGCGACGAUCAGUAGCUGGUCUGAGAGGAUGAUCAGCCACAUUGGGACUGAGACACGGCCCAAACUCCUACGGGAGGCAGCAGUGGGGAAUAUUGGACAAUGGGGGCAACCCUGAUCCAGCCAUGCCGCGUGAGUGAUGAAGGCCCUAGGGUUGUAAAGCUCUUUUGUGCGGGAAGAUAAUGACGGUACCGCAAGAAUAAGCCCCGGCUAACUUCGUGCCAGCCGCCGCCGUAACAC